AGACCCGAAACCCGGUGAUCUAGCCAUGGGCAGGUUGAAGGUUGGGUAACACUAACUGGAGGACCGAACCGACUAAUGUUGAAAAAUUAGCGGAUGACCUGUGGCUGGGGGUGAAAGGCCAAUCAAACCGGGAGAUAGCUGGUUCUCCCCGAAAGCUAUUUAGGUAGCGCCUCGUGAAUUCAUCUCCGGGGGUAGAGCACUGUUUCGGCUAGGGGGCCAUCCCGGCUUACCAACCCGAUGCAAACUGCGAAUACCGGAGAAUGUUAUCACGGGAGACACACGGCGGGUGCUAACGUCCGUCGUGAAGAGGGAAACAACCCAGACCGCCAGCUAAGGUCCCAAAGUCAUGGUUAAGUGGGAAACGAUGUGGGAAGGCCCAGACAGCCAGGAUGUUGGCUUAGAAGCAGCCAUCAUUUAAAGAAAGCGUAAUAGCUCACUGGUCGAGUCGGCCUGCGCGGAAGAUGUAACGGGGCUAAACCAUGCACCGAAGCUGCGGCAGCGAACGUAUCACUUAAAGCGAUUCAGCGGGUUACGAUUGACGGAGCGAAGCGACGUCAAAGCGUAUACAAAGUCGAGUCGGUUUAAGGAUACGUUCGUUGGGUAGGGGAGCGUUCUGUAAGCCUGCGAAGGUGGCCUGUGAGGGUUGCUGGAGGUAUCAGAAGUGCGAAUGCUGACAUAAGUAACGAUAAAGCGGGUGAAAAGCCCGCU
rnacentral:rRNA from 1 species